rnacentral:rRNA from 1 species
GGAUUAGAUACCCUGGUAGUCCACGCCGUAAACGAUGGAUACUAGGUGUCGGGGGGUUGCCCUUCGGCGCCGCAGCUAACGCGUUAAGUAUCCCGCCUGGGGAGUACGGUCGCAAGGCUGAAACUCAAAGAAAUUGACGGGGGCCCGCACAAGCGGUGGAGUAUGUGGUUUAAUUCGAUGCAACGCGAAGAACCUUACCUAGGCUUGACAUCCCGGGAACCCUCCCGAAAAGGAGGGGUGCUCUUCGGAGAACCCGGUGACAGGUGCUGCAUGGCUGUCGUCAGCUCGUGCUG